rnacentral:misc_RNA from 1 species
AUCCGGAAAAAUGGUUUUUAACAGACUUACCUAUCGCCAACAGAUACUAGCUGGAGUGCAAAACAAAAGGGUUUAAACGAAUUUAUGCUGAAUACAUAGUAAUAAUGUUUCCGUCCGCCAUGAAGCUUGCAGUACAGUUUCUUUUGUUCGCAAUAGCAUUUAAAGAACAUGUAUCAGAAAAUGUAUCAAAAGACAGCGUGGUCUGUGUUAAUGAGGAUGAGAUGUUAAACGCUUUAAAAGGAAGAGAUGGUCCAGCGGGGCCGCCUGGAUUGAAGGGUAAUCGAGGUGAGCCUGGUGAUCAUGUUAUCCCAACUCAAGGUAAUGAAGGGUGGCCGGGUGUAGAUGGCGAACCAGGGCGUAAAGGAAGAAAGGGGAACCGUGGAGAACCUGGAAUGACUGGAGCUCCAGGCCUUGAUGGCGUCAACAACAAAAAGCGAGGUAUGAAGGGUGAGCAAGGAGUCAGCGGAGAAAUGGGAGAGCAGGGUGAUCCUGGAUAUGUAGGAACCAACGGCCAGAGGGGUGAGCGUGGAUCACCUGGAGAAACAGGUCCCAAGAUAAAAGAAGAGGUCUUGAAGUCUUUAUUGAAUGACUACUAUGUUUUGGAAAACGCUUACUUUGACGAUCUCUAUCAUGUAACAUCACGUGAUUUGACUGAUGGUAGAUCAGAUACUGGCGGUUGGGGAAGCGAGACAGCGAAGACUGGGAACUAUAUUCAAGCAAACUAUUUCCAUCCUGUCUACGCCACCUCGGUCACGUUAGCCGGAGGAUUUGUACCGUCUUGGGGUCAUGAAAUCAGAGAAGAUUAUGGUUAUAUGGAUUUGGAAUAUUUUUCGGAUAAACGAAAAUGGGAAAAGCAUUGAGCGAAAGUACAGUAGAAGAGGUGUUCCGUAAGCUGAGCUAUGAGAAUUAACGAAUCGGAAGUAAAAAUAGGAACACAGUGAAAUCGUCUUUAUGUCAGACGGGCAAGAAGUGAGAAAAUUGGAAGGAGUCAACAAGUCGGUUGUGUGCAUAAAAAGCAG